GAUGAACGCUGGCGGCGUGCCUAAUACAUGCAAGUCGAGCGAACAGAUAAGGAGCUUGCUCCUUUGACGUUAGCGGCGGACGGGUGAGUAACACGUGGAUAACCUACCUAUAAGACUGGGAUAACUUCGGGAAACCGGAGCUAAUACCGGAUAACAUAUUGAACCGCAUGGUUCAAUAGUGAAAGGCGGCUUUGCUGUCACUUAUAGAUGGAUCCGCGCCGUAUUAGCUAGUUGGUAAGGUAACGGCUUACCAAGGCAACGAUACGUAGCCGACCUGAGAGGGUGAUCGGUCACACUGGAACUGAGACACGGUCCAGACUCCUACGGGAGGCAGCAGUAGGGAAUCUUCCGCAAUGGGCGAAAGCCUGACGGAGCAACGCCGCGUGAGUGAUGAAGGUCUUCGGAUCGUAAAACUCUGUUAUCAGGGAAGAACAAAUGUGUAAGUAACUGUGCACAUCUUGACGGUACCUGAUCAGAAAGCCACGGCUAACUACGUGCCAGCAGCCGCGGUAAUACGUAGGUGGCAAGCGUUAUCCGGAAUUAUUGGGCGUAAAGCGCGCGUAGGCGGUUUUUUAAGUCUGAUGUGAAAGCCCACGGCUCAACCGUGGAGGGUCAUUGGAAACUGGAAAACUUGAGUGCAGAAGAGGAAAGUGGAAUUCCAUGUGUAGCGGUGAAAUGCGCAGAGAUAUGGAGGAACACCAGUGGCGAAGGCGACUUGUCUGGUCUGUAACUGACGCUGAUGUGCGAAAGCGUGGGGAUCAAACAGGAUUAGAUACCCUGGUAGUCCACGCCGUAAACGAUGAGUGCUAAGUGUUAGGGGGUUUCCGCCCCUUAGUGCUGCAGCUAACGCAUUAAGCACUCCGCCUGGGGAGUACGACCGCAAGGUUGAAACUCAAAGGAAUUGACGGGGACCCGCACAAGCGGUGGAGCAUGUGGUUUAAUUCGAAGCAACGCGAAGAACCUUACCAAAUCUUGACAUCCUUUGACUGCUCUAGAGAUAGAGUCUUCCCCUUCGGGGGACAAAGUGACAGGUGGUGCAUGGUUGUCGUCAGCUCGUGUCGUGAGAUGUUGGGUUAAGUCCCGCAACGAGCGCAACCCUUAAGCUUAGUUGCCAUCAUUAAGUUGGGCACUCUAAGUUGACUGCCGGUGACAAACCGGAGGAAGGUGGGGAUGACGUCAAAUCAUCAUGCCCCUUAUGAUUUGGGCUACACACGUGCUACAAUGGACAAUACAAAGGGCAGCUAAACCGCGAGGUCAAGCAAAUCCCAUAAAGUUGUUCUCAGUUCGGAUUGUAGUCUGCAACUCGACUACAUGAAGCUGGAAUCGCUAGUAAUCGUAGAUCAGCAUGCUACGGUGAAUACGUUCCCGGGUCU
rnacentral:rRNA from 1 species